CGUAGGGUGCGAGCGUUAAUCGGAAUUACUGGGCGUAAAGCGUGCGCAGGCGGUUGUGCAAGACGGAUGUGAAAUCCCCGGGCUUAACCUGGGAAUUGCAUUCGUGACUGCACGGCUAGAGUGUGUCAGAGGGGGGUAGAAUUCCACGUGUAGCAGUGAAAUGCGUAGAUAUGUGGAGGAAUACCGAUGGCGAAGGCAGCCCCCUGGGAUAACACUGACGCUCAUGCACGAAAGCGUGGGGAGCAAACAGGAUUAGAUACCCUGGUAGUCCACGCCCUAAACGAUGUCAACUAGUUGUCGGGUCUUAAUUGACUUGGUAACGCAGCUAACGCGUGAAGUUGACCGCCUGGGGAGUACGGUCGCAAGAUUA
rnacentral:rRNA from 1 species